GACGAACGCUGGCGGCGCGCUUAACACAUGCAAGUCGAACGGAAAGGCCCUGCUUUUGUGGGGUGCUCGAGUGGCGAACGGGUGAGUAACACGUGAGUAACCUGCCCUUGACUUUGGGAUAACUUCAGGAAACUGGGGCUAAUACCGGAUAGGAGCUCCUGCUGCAUGGUGGGGGUUGGAAAGUUUCGGCGGUUGGGGAUGGACUCGCGGCUUAUCAGCUUGUUGGUGGGGUAGUGGCUUACCAAGGCUUUGACGGGUAGCCGGCCUGAGAGGGUGACCGGCCACAUUGGGACUGAGAUACGGCCCAGACUCCUACGGGAGGCAGCAGUGGGGAAUAUUGCACAAUGGGCGGAAGCCUGAUGCAGCAACGCCGCGUGCGGGAUGACGGCCUUCGGGUUGUAAACCGCUUUCGCCUGUGACGAAGCGUGAGUGACGGUAAUGGGUAAAGAAGCACCGGCUAACUACGUGCCAGCAGCCGCGGUGAUACGUAGGGUGCGAGCGUUGUCCGGAUUUAUUGGGCGUAAAGGGCUCGUAGGUGGUUGAUCGCGUCGGAAGUGUAAUCUUGGGGCUUAACCCUGAGCGUGCUUUCGAUACGGGUUGACUUGAGGAAGGUAGGGGAGAAUGGAAUUCCUGGUGGAGCGGUGGAAUGCGCAGAUAUCAGGAGGAACACCAGUGGCGAAGGCGGUUCUCUGGGCCUUUCCUGACGCUGAGGAGCGAAAGCGUGGGGAGCGAACAGGCUUAGAUACCCUGGUAGUCCACGCUGUAAACGGUGGGUACUAGGUGUGGGGUCCAUUCCACGGGUUCCGUGCCGUAGCUAACGCUUUAAGUACCCCGCCUGGGGAGUACGGCCGCAAGGCUAAAACUCAAAGGAAUUGACGGGGCCCCGCACAAGCGGCGGAGCAUGCGGAUUAAUUCGAUGCAACGCGUAGAACCUUACCUGGGUUUGACAUGGAUCGGGAGUGCUCAGAGAUGGGUGUGCCUCUUUUGGGGUCGGUUCACAGGUGGUGCAUGGCUGUCGUCAGCUCGUGUCGUGAGAUGUUGGGUUAAGUCCCGCAACGAGCGCAACCCUUGUUCACUGUUGCCAGCACGUUAUGGUGGGGACUCAGUGGAGACCGCCGGGGUCAACUCGGAGGAAGGUGGGGAUGACGUCAAGUCACCAUGCCCCUUAUGUCCAGGGCUUCACGCAUGCUACAAUGGCUGGUACAGAGAGUGGCGAGCCUGUGAGGGUGAGCGAAUCUCGGAAAGCCGGUCUCAGUUCGGAUUGGGGUCUGCAACUCGACCUCAUGAAGUCGGAGUCGCUAGUAAUCGCAGAUCAGCAACGCUGCGGUGAAUACGUUCCCGGGGCU
rnacentral:rRNA from 1 species